UGCUUAGCUUAAAAAUACAUUUCAGUGGGAGGUGGAGCAAGAUGACCAAAUAGAAGCCUCUACUGUUUGUUCCCCCUGCAGGAACUCCGAAUGGAACAACUAUCCGCACAGAAAACCACCUUCAUAAGAACGAAAAAUCAGAUGAGCAUGUGUGAGAGAGAAACAGACCCAGAGCUGGAGGCAGAGAAUGGGACACAGAAAGAGGAAACAAAGAAACCAUGGCGUCUUAAGAGGGUCCCUGCUGCCUGCUUCCCUUUCGGCCAUGAUUGUUAAGUUUCCUGAGGACUCCCCAGCAAUUCAGAACUGUGAGUCAAUCACACCUUUUUCUUCUAUAAACUACCCAGUCUCAGGUAUUUCUUUAUAUUAAUGUGAAAAUGGGCUAUACAGUUAGUAACUUUGAAAGAGUGAAUGAGGCUUCUGAAUAUUACUGACUCUGGUUUGCUGCAGGAAAACACAGGAGGUUGACCCAUGGAGCCAUAGAGAGGUUCAUGCUGUAGAUAUGAACUUGAGCAACCCUAACAUAUCUGUGGCAAUUGAUACUGUAGGAUAGUUUGAGGUCUUAAAAGGAAUAUCAGGCUGGAUGUGCUGGCUCAUGACUGUAACUCCAAUGCUUUGGUAGGCUGAGGCAGUAGGACCCUUUGAGGCCAGGCGUUAGAGACUAUCCUGGGCAACAAAGCAAGACCCCA
rnacentral:lncRNA from 13 species